GGGCCGCGCCGGCUGGCUCAUCGCUUUUCUGGGUGUAGUCUCAUUUCUGGCCCGCAGUUCGCACAAUCGAUAUCAACAACUAGAACAUCUGAAGCAAAACAGACCUACACUACACUAUCCAAAACGAACUACAUAACCGGUAUCGGACCCAGCGUACCCGACCUUUCUGAGACGAUCACCUGAUCUCGUCUCCCUCAUUUUGGCCACUAGAUGGCCUUCAUCUGCCCGUGUCGGCAGUAAUGCCCCCUCUACCCAUCAAUGGAUAUUAAGCCGGACAUCGUUUUCCUUCAGUAUGAUAUCCUCACUCUGCUAUUUAUGAUUCUGUGCAAGCUGACAUUUCUCUCAUUUCAACAGAACAACAACAAAGAAAGGGCUUCACUGAAAGCUUUUGCUAACCGCCGCUGGGAACCUCGUUGAAAGGAAAAUUUAUAUAUGUAUCUUAAUUUGUGCGAUUGACUCUCAACAUAUUCAUGUUCGUAUAUACUAGGGAUGAUUGGUACUGUUAUUUCUGUGUCACAGUGACAACUGUGACAGUUACAAAAAAAUACCAGUGACAAAUAAUAGCGACUGUUACUCGACUUGUGGGC